CAAGUUUUGAGUAAAAUUCUAUUUAGACUGUGCAAGAUUUAAUGACCAGAAAUUGAAAACUUGAUAUAAGAACUGCCAAAAUCAAAACAAAGACAAGGACACCAUUACGUUACAUAAUAAAAUUAUUUCUAUGGCAAUAAAAUGUGCCAAAUGGCCAUGAAAAAAUGAUUAUUUUAUAUUUAAAAGCUCAAAAGUUUGUAUUACAGUUACAGUUGCUGUAUGCCCUAUUGUUAAUAUCUUAUUUUUUUUAAUGAAGUUUUUGUGGUUGUAAGUUUGCUUCUAAAAUCUCUUUAGGAGUGCUGUGGCUUUUGUCCACCACUUCUUUACCACUAGGCGCCCCAAUUUUAUAUAACUUAUUAAUUUCAGAAUACCAACAUGAUUACUCUUUCUUGAAUCAACAGACAAGGAUUGCUGCUUUAUGAGCAAAGUUGGAAAACUCAGAGUAGACAAUCUUUUCAUUAUGCCCAGCCUCUACUUCAAUUUUGCAAAAGUGGUGUUUUAUACAGACUUUGCUGUGGGCAGUUUUGCUCUAUCGGGUUUUUCAUAUCUAAUUAUUGCAAUUAAUUAACAAAUUAACAAAAUCAUUUGAAACUUCUGUGGAUUUCUUCUUCUUCAUGCUCUUCCAUCACAUGCAUUCUAUGUUAAUCAAUAGGAUAAAAGCUCUCCUGCAAUAAGAUAAAACAGCAUGUGAACGGAACUUUCCAAAUUGUGUACCUUUUACCCAAAUUCCAAUAAUUUCACUAGAAUAAUUAUUUCUGCAAAUUUAAAGAAGCUGUUCAAUGCAUUAAAAACAUUUUCAAAUCACAAAACCAUAUUGGACCUAAUAAGCUUAAUAAUUUUAAUUUUCUAGUAAAAGCAAUAUUCUAAUUUGGGGGGGAGAGUUCUUCAACAUAAAAUCUUACCCACUUACACUGAUUUGACUCAGUACAGACCACUUAAAAUUCAUGUUAGCUUCAGCAGAAUAAUUUCUAAUAUAGCUGAGCAGAAUUCAAAAUUUCUCAUAUGCUUUCUUAAAGGAAAUUUUCCUUUAAUUUCCUUUCCUUUUUUCUUUUCCUUUCUUUUUUCUAUUUGGAUGCAACAGCUUUCAAAGAGAAAACUGGGCCUUAUCCUGUAGCCCUCAGGUUUUGCUUUUGUAAAGAAAUGUCAUAAUCAUGUAUUUAAUAUGUGUCUUUUGGACCAAAUACCAAGCACAGCAAAAGUCAUCUUAAUUUUUUUCCAAUUCUUAGACCCUUUUUAAUACUUGCCUUUGUUUUUAAAUACAGUAUCUCCAGAUAUUUCUCUUAAGAAUUAAUAAUGCAGUUAAAUGUCAUUUCUUAAAAAACAAAAAACAAUGUCUGGUCAUUAGGUCUCAAAAUAUGCAUUUGUUCUUCAUGGCUGUCCAGGUAAUUAUAUUUCUGCAUAUGAUUUAAGUUAAUUAUGUGGCAUUCUGCUUAAUCCUUUUCAAUGACCUCCAUUUUAUUUUAUGAACCUCCUUUGUUUAUGUCUCUUGUUUUAUUGAUAGAUAUUCCCAUGACUGAGACUAAAUGCUAACUAGCUUUUAAAAGACAUUGCUCUGUAAUUUCUGUACUUUUUUAACACCAUGCUGCCCUAUUUGAUCUGUCUUCAUAAUGACAACCAUAUAAAGAACAAAACCAAAGGCUAAAUGAAACCUUGGGCUUCGGUUGAAAAUGGGAGGUUGGUCACUGAUUUCAAUGAAAUCCUAGUUUCAUUCAUAAUCCUUACCCAGGGAAAACACUUGUUGGCUACCAUGACUGUUCUAUCAUGAGCUAUAGGUGGAAGGAUCCAAAGCUAAAAUAUGCUCUUUUCAUAUGUAAUAAACCAUUCCUAUCUUCAGAGCCCUGCUGGUGUACCAUAUGAGAUACAUGUUGACGUUCCUUCCCAUUGGCUAGUACUGGCUUAAGUCUACAUAUGUGUCAAGACUUUGGAUUGUAUCCGGUGUUAGCUAUACUCAGAAUAGACAUUGAAAUCAAUGAACAUGACUUAGCUUAGGUCCAUUUAUUUUAUUGGGUCUAUCCUGAAUAAAACUUAGUUGGAUGCAACCUUUUGUCUCCCAAACUACAUCCAUUAAGCAAUAAUUUGGAAGCCCUUUGCUACUGGAUACAAAAAUGUUCUAAGCUUAUCUGAAUCUGACCUCACAUAUGUUGUUAGGAGUAAUUCCAUUUGUGCCACACACAAAAAUGAUCAUUAACACAAGAGGAUGCCUUUGAGGCAAGCUCAAGAGCAUGAACCUAUUUUUGGAUAGUGGAGAAAGAGAAGGUGUUUCAUUUAUUUUCAUACAUAAAGGGUAAGAUACAUUGUGUCCUCUUCCUAAAAUGGGUUUAAGAACUGAAGCUUUACUAAAGAUAGCAUACCAUCUAGAUAGCCUGUAAGUAACUAUAUGUUCUACACUUAGUCCAGGGUAGCGAAUAUGGUGCUCAAGUGACAUUGUUGGACUCCAACUCCCAUCCACCCCUGUCAGUAUUGUCAGUGGUCAGAGAUUAUGGGAACUCUAGUCCAGCAACAUGCAGAGGGCACCAUGUUGGCUACCCUGUGACAGAGUGUUCCUUUCUAUCUUAUGGAACAACGACAUCUGACAUCACAUUACCACUCCAUGUUCAUUAUGGUUCUACAACAUCACAUAAGUCAUUGUUUGUACUUCAAAAGCAAACUCAAAUUACAGGUAAAAAAAACAGUGGCACCUUAAAGACUAACAGAUUUUUAUUAUGGCAUAAACUUUGUGUCCUGACUAAUGCAUAGUUUUGGUAACAGCAUUUCCAGUAUUUGGUCACAGUAAACUUGGAAAGGAAAGGAAAGGAAAGGAAAUGGAAAACAACUCUCACACUACAGGAAGAAACACAGCAACAAGAGGGAGAAGGAAAGGCAGAGUACCUGUGAGUACCUAAGGCAUGUUUAAAAACAUACUACUGCUAUGUUUAAUUACCUGUUGCUUGUAUAGUAAGGUAACUAUUGUCACAAAAGUCAAUGUUAAGACUUUUGUUCCAACCCUAUAUUGCUUGCCCAUCCACCACUAUUCUUGAAACCAACAUAAAAAAUCCCAUUCAUUGCUGUUUGGGGAUUGCCUGCUAAGACUGCCAUCCUCUGGCUAGCUUCACCAACUGAAUCCAAGUGUGAUGUAGCCAAAAAUGGUUGCAUACUAAGAGUUUAGCAAGGAUGCUCUUCUAGCUAUAUGACAUUAUAAGAUAAUAGUAUAUUUUUCAGCAGUGCUAGUCUAGGGUUCUCUUCUGCCCCAUUUUCCUAAAGGGGAGACAAAUGUAUUCAAAUAUGCUAAGGGAUAUAUUUAAUAACCUGUGACUCUUUGCCACAAGUUUUCCAAAGCAACUCAUUUCUCUCUACUCAGCUGAUCACUGAUUUGGCACUUGAUCACUGAUUUGGCUUUGUUCUGUGAUAACUGGGAGGUGGUGUUGCUGGCAACUCACCAAGCUGAGAUCGGCUGUGUACAAUUGAUAAAUAGCUUGUCAGAGACUUGGAAGCGUUAUUGUUCAGCAAGCAUUGCCAGUGGUGGACACAUUCACGUUUUGUGUCCCACUUUGAUGUUCAAACCAAGUUUACACCUUUCUGUAGUGAUAUGUGAUGUGCUUAAUGCAGUUUAAUACAUAGAUUUUCUCAGGGACAAAAAGAAUUUGCACUGAAUUAUUCCAAUGAAGCAAGCUGCAAAAGCUUGCUUACAUUACAGCCGCCUGCCUAAGCUCCAUUGGGUUCAAGUUCAAUUGCAGCCUUACAAAGCAAUCCAGCCUCCCAAACCUGGCCCACUGUGAUGGAAAGAGUAUGGAUGUGGCAGAAGUGUCCCUCUGCUUGGCUCCGCUGGCAGCAUCCUUCACCACCACAGAUGUUCCCCUGGGACCUGCUGAAAGCACAGGCAGGCAGACGCUACUACCUCUGGUAUCCCUGCCAGUGGUAACUAGUAGAAACUCCUGAAAUGGGACAUUUCUGGGGAAGGGAGGGGUGAGAAAGGGAUGGAGCUGGGUCAGCCAAGGAUUUGCUGGAUUCAAAACCAGUCCAGGUACCAGCAGUGACUCUAAUUUGGGCCUCUCUGCUAUACCAGAGCUGGCGGAGGGAUUGCCCUCACUUUUCACCUAGGACAGCAUGAGAGGCAGGUGCUUUGGAUGUGGUGGCUCCUCUCCUUCCAGGAGGGAGUUAAAAUGGUUCCCUUAGUGGGUUUCAUGCUCUUAAUUUGUUUUUGGAACAAGGCAGUGCAAAUUUAUUUAUUUAUUUAAGCCCAGAAAGACUAUACUUUGCAAUUGUUUUGAGCACAGCGCAUGUAAAAAAAAUUUCUCCCCAAAUCAGCACCUGCUUGGCUUCCUUCCUUUUUUAGCUUUUUCAUGUUGGGAUGCUGCCCAUCCCCAUUUCCUGCAGGUUUCUGUAGCACAGGCGUCCUCAGACUCGGCCCUCCAGAUGUUUUUGGCCUACAACUCCCACGAUCCCUAGCUAGCAGGACCAGUGGUCAGGGAUGAUGGGAACUGUAGUCUCAAACCAUCUGGAGGGCUGAGUUUGAGGAAGCCUGCCAGGUGCACAGAAGUAUGCCUGGCAUUUUCGUAAUAGCUGGGGGUUUGUUUCAAUGUGCUGACGCCUAAAGGCUACUUUCUUGUAUCCCCCCUAUGUGCCUGAGCACUUUGGGGACUUUUGUUUAGGGACUUGACUCUUCCCAUUCCUCUUUUACAUAUGCAUAAGUAUCAAGCUACUAAUCUUUGGUCAAGCCCAGUGUCAUAGCAGCAGUGAAAUGGAGGUUCUUCCAGAUAAACAAAUAUGUGCAUGCCACCUUGGCAGCUCACUUACUAUGAGAAAUAUCAGAAGAGCUGCACACACCCCUUUCCCCCCACCUUUGCUUCUUAAAGCACAGCACAAACACACAGAGAGAAAGGUGCCCUGAGGAUCAACAAAUCCCUGGAAUGUAUUGCAACACAAUAUGAAAAGCAAAACUGGCAAAUCACAUCACACACACACACACACACACACACACACACACACGUGGCGUUCUUUCUGUUCAUGCAUGAAUCUGUUUGGAUCCUAGCCAAUGCAGCCUCUCACCUUUCUUAUAACGAGUGAGCAAUCUUCAAAGAGGACACAGUGGUCUAAGUAAUUGCUCCCAGUGACAGAGUGUAGCACUCAAAAUACUGUUCAUUAAGUGUCAAACUCUACUGAGACAGCAAGCAGUAUUAGUAUGGAGACAGCAAUUCUGUACACUCACAUUAUGUAACAAGGUGAUCAGCCUUCCACAGUCUGGGGCCCUCCAGAUGCUGUUGGACUCCCAUCAGCCUUAGCCAGCAUGGCUAAUGGUCAGGGAUUAUGGGAGUUGUAGUCCAAAAAUAUUAUAGGCAUAGGGCUGAUCAAAAUCCAACUCCACAGAAGCCACAGCUGGCCAUGAAAGCAAAUGGGCUGCUGCUCUCUUGGAGCUGCUUCUGAUUAUAAGAAACAAGACCACAACCUGCCUGCAAAGUGUUUUCUGCCCAUGUCUUAAAUGUAAAUGGCUACUACAUAAGUGGACAAUGAUGGAAAAUCAGCUUCUCAACCAUGUAUAUUUAUGUCCUGAAAAAAGUGUGGAUAGGCUUUUCUCCAUAUUGGGUGUUACAUGAAAUUAUUAUUUAAUUUUUCCAUUGUCUCCCUGUAUGUUCACUUCGUCAUGCUGCUUACACAGGGAGGUUUCAGAUUCGUUCUCACAAUAGGGAUGGAAUCUUGGGUCCAAAGAUCCCCACGUGAGGGCAGAAAGCGCUUCUGUUCACCUUAAGGCUGCUGUUUUGCUUUUGAGAGGGUCCCCCUGGAGUGGCUUCUCCCGAGCAAGCUACAGCCAGAUGAAAAAUCAGCACAGCCGUGUGUCAGUGGAAACACUUUCUGCUUGCACACAGGGAUCUCUGAGUAAGCCAGCCCUCAAAAAGCAAUAUCCAAAGCCAAGCUGAAACUAAAAGAUCGGUUCAUUUACUGUGGGUUCAGGCAAAGUGGUUUCCUGUCUGUCUAGGUCAGAGUAUUGGAGAGAGAAAGAACUGCAUCCCACAUCCCUGGGCGGAGGGCAGAGUUUUAGUGUUAUUCCUCUAUAUAUUCUCAGAGCUUUAGCCACGUUCAUCAUAUGCAAGUCAGUGCCAGCCAUGCAGAUAAAAAUCUAAACAUUUAGAGAUCAGUUUUCAGUAACAAACAGCACUCAGCACUUAGCCUGUUGCAUUGAGAUAACUGUAAAUAACCACUCAAUAUGUACUGUUUCAUGUUUAUCAGUUAGAUGUUAUCUCCCAUAUUUGUUUCAUAUCUACAGUAGCAUGGACUGAGUUUACUUAACAAUGUUUUCUUCUAUGGACGCUACAAAUACUGUGGUGGGGGAGGGAAGCACAACAGUAUUUUUUAAAAUUGUACUGGCACAAUAGCUGUGUCUUUACUAUCGCUCAGUUUUGAAUGAAUGGCAGCAUUUCACUGUAAACUGCUAUACUAACAACAUAUUCUCCUUUUUAAAAAACAAAGCAUCCUUUUGGGAUAGGAGAUAUGUGCAUAUAUGAUAAGUCUCAUCUAAUCUCAUUCAUCUGCCUUUACAAAAUGCCCCAUCCAAAAUGGGAGAGUCUGCUGCUUUUGUUGUAUAUAUUACUUCUAUUUUAGGGAUGGAGCAGGACUGAAAAUUACAGUGUUCUUGUAAGGGCAUUUUGCAAUGGUAACAGCAUCAUGCAUGCUUUGUUGCAUCUUUGUAUUUACUAGAAAUGUCUUGUUUUCACCUUUUAUUUUUCUGUAGAGAGCAUACCACUUUAACUCCCCACCCCCACCCCUCCGCUGUCCAUCUUGCACCAUUAAUAGAACUUCACAUAUAAUGGUAUUCGUAUCAAUGUUUCCAUAUCAGCCGCAUUUUAACAUCAAUGAAAAGGAAAUGUGAUUUUUUUUUUUUGUUAUACUAGUUUUUUGCUGAUCAGCUAAAUAUUUCUGCACCAAUCAGCAUUUAAAUAUGCAUGUGGUAGUCUGUAUUGUACAGUUGUUCAACAUCAAAAUACUUGUUUAUUUUCUGUCAAAUGUCUGUAAAAUGAAUGGCAUUGUUCUCCAUUUCAGUCUGCCAGAAUAAGCAGAAUAGUCAAUAAAUGUGUAAAUG